rnacentral:rRNA from 1 species
CCUACGGGCGGCAGCAGUGGGGAAUAUUGGACAAUGGGGGAAACCCUGAUCCAGCGACGCCGCGUGAGUGAAGAAGUAUUUCGGUACGUAAAGCUCUAUCAGCAGGACAGAAAAUGACGGUACCUGACUCAGAAGCCCCGGCUAACUACGUGCCAGCAGCCGCGGUAAUACGUAGGGGGCAAGCGUUAUCCGGAUUUACUGGGUGUAAAGGGAGCGUAGACGGCAGCGCAAGUCUGGAGUGAAAUGCCGGGGCCCAACCCCGGAACUGCUCUGGAAACUGUGAAGCUAGAGUGUAGGAGAGGUAAGCGGAAUGCCUGGUGUAGCGGUGAAAUGCUUAGAGAUCAGGCGGAACACCGGCGGCGAAGGCGGCUUACUGGACUGUAACUGACGUUGAGGCUCGAAGGCGUGGGGAGCAAACAGGAUUAGAUACCCCUGUAGUC